rnacentral:rRNA from 1 species
GACGAACGCUGGCGGCGUGCUUAACACAUGCAAGUCGAACGGUGAAGCGCCUUCCUUUUUGGUGGGUGUGGAUGAGUGGCGAACGGGUGAGUAACACGUGAGUAACCUGCCCCCUUCUUCUGGAUAACCGCAUGAAAGUGUGGCUAAUACGGGAUAUUCUGGGUCUGUCGCAUGAUGGGUCUGGGAAAGAUAUUGUUUCGGUGGGGGAUGGGCUCGCGUCCUAUCAGCUUGUUGGUGGGGUGAUGGCCUACCAAGGCGGUGACGGGUAGCCGGCCUGAGAGGGUGGACGGUCACACUGGGACUGAGACACGGCCCAGACUCCUACGGGAGGCAGCAGUGGGGAAUAUUGCACAAUGGGCGCAAGCAUGAUGCAGCGACGCCGCGUGAGGGAUGGAGGCCUUCGGGUUGUGAACCUCUUUCGCCAGUGAAGCAGGCCUGCCUAGUUUGUGGGUGGGUUGACGGUAGCUGGAGAAGAAGCGCCGGCUAACUACGUG